rnacentral:lncRNA from 1 species
CAAGAGCCCCACGGCCCGAUUCUGGAAGAACUGUCUGAGCGACAUCACCUGGGGAGGACCCAGGCUCAGCCAGUCCUCGGUGGGCGUACUUCUUAGAAUGUCUUUUUAAACUCAGUCACCUCCUGAAGGCUGCACAUCAGACGUUUCCCCUUCUAAGGUUGACAAAACUCAACUGGCAUCGUUUAAACAGAGUUUUUGUGCGGCUCGUGAGGAGUCUUCAGUUCCAAGGGGGAAGCUGGAAUGGAGGCUGUCAGCUCAAGUCACAAGGGAGGAAGACGCACAUUGAUCUCGUGUGGCUUUGGGAUUUGUGCUGUUGGAACUGAGAACUCUGAGGGGGACAAACAGUAAGAGCAGUCUUUACGGGAAUCAUACAGAAUGUAUGAACAUCUUAGCAGCUUUUGCUCGUGUGCCCAACAAGGGGCUAAUUCUUUGCACGCAUUUUCCUGGUUACACCAGGCAGUAUUGUUUCAAGACAGGAAUUAUGGUCUGCACUGUAAAGAUGAGCGCCCGAGGGCUCAGAGGGGUCGAUGAACAUGCCAUGCUCACACAGCUGGUAAGAGGACCAGGCAGAAUUCAAAGCGGGACUGCCCUGGGUCCAAAACUUUGUCCUUAGUCACUGUGCGAGACUUUCCCUCACUCUGACCCUACAUCCCUAUCUGACCAGCUUGGAUAACACCCUUUCUUUUUUGAAAUUAACUCUGGUCUGUCCAACACAUAUCUCUGCUCUACAAGGAAGGGAGUGUAACCAGGGAUUGCUGGUGCAUGGGUCAGAGCCAGGGCUCUGUCAUUUGGC